rnacentral:rRNA from 1 species
CGUAGGCGCAAGCGUUGUCCGGAAUCAUUGGGCGUAAAGCGCGUGUAGGCGGCUGAGUAAGUCUGCUGUGAAGUCCAGGGCUCAACCCUGGAUGCCGCAGAUACUGCUUGGCUAGAGUACGGGAGGGCGAGUGGAAUUCCUGGUGUAGCGGUGGAAUGCGCAGAUAUCAGGAGGAACACCUAUGGCGAAGGCAGCUCGCUGGAACGUUACUGACGCUGAGACGCGAAAGCGUGGGAGCAAACAGGAUU